rnacentral:rRNA from 1 species
UACGUAGGGUGCGAGCGUUGUCCGGAAUUAUUGGGCGUAAAGGGCUCGUAGGCGGUUUGUCGCGUCGGGAGUGAAAAUCCAGGGCUUAACUCUGGACUGGCUUCCGAUACGGGCAGACUAGAGGUAUGCAGGGGAGAACGGAAUUCCUGGUGUAGCGGUGAAAUGCUUAGAUAUCGGGAGGAACACCAGUGGCGAAGGCGGCCGGCUGGGGGUGCCCUGACGCUGAGGCGCGAAAGCGUGGGGAGCGAACCGG